rnacentral:rRNA from 1 species
GGGCACUGGUAAGGGCGUAUGGUGGAUGCCUUGGUAGACAGGACCGAUGAAGGACGUGGUGGCUGGUUCUCUCCGAAAUGCAUCUAGGUGCAGCGUCGUGUUAUUGCUUACAGGGGGUAGAGCUACUGGAUGCUUGCGGGCCCAUACCGGGUACCAAUAGCAGCCAAACUCCGAAUACCUGUUAGGUUUAUCACGGCAGUGAGUCGGCGGGGGAUAAGCUCCGUCGUCAAAAGGGAAACAGCCCUGAUCGUCGUCUAAGGUCCCGAAGCGCGUGCUAAGUGGGAAAGGAUGUGGAGUCGCAUAGACAGCCAGGAGGUUGGCUCAGAAGCAGCCAUCCUUGAAAGAGUGCGUAACAGCUCACUGGUCUAGUGGUUCCGCGCCGACAAUGUAGCGGGGCUUAAGCACGCCACCGAAGACGCGGCUGCAUGAUUUGUUUCAUGCGGGGUAGGAGAGCGUCCUGUAUGGGGUGAAGCGGCAGUGUGAACUUGUCGUGGACUUUACAGGAGUGAGAAUGCAGACAUGAGUAGCGAGAGACGGGUGUGAAUCCCGUCCGCUGAAUGACUAAGGGGUCCGGGGCCACGUUCGUCGUCCCCGGGUGAGUCGAGUCCUAAGGCGAGGCCGACAGGCGUAGUCGAAUGGAUGAACGGGUUGAUAUUCCCGUACCGGUGUUACACCGUUCGAACUGAAUCUGAGAGUACUAACCUUCAUUUGCUGGUUGAUUGCCUUUCGGGGUUGUUGGCUGGUUUGUGUUGGGCCUGUAUCGCUAGUAGGUUAGCAUGGG